AACGAACGCUGGCGGCGUGCCUAACACAUGCAAGUCGAACGAGAAAGUCCCGUUCGCGGGAUGAGUAAAGUGGCGCACGGGUGAGUAACACGUGGAUAAUCUUCCUCUUGGUGAGGGAUAACAUUCCGAAAGGGAUGCUAAUACCUCAUAACACUCUAUAUUCUGCGGAAAGUAGAGUCAAAGAUGGCCUCUGACUCAAGCUGUCGCUAAGAGAUGAGUCCGCGCCCCAUUAGCUAGUUGGUAGGGUAAUGGCCUACCAAGGCGACGAUGGGUAGCUGGUCUGAGAGGAUGACCAGCCACACUGGAACUGAGACACGGUCCAGACUCCUACGGGUGGCUG
rnacentral:rRNA from 1 species